rnacentral:ncRNA from 1 species
UAGGAGUAUGCUGAAAAUCCUAAAAAGAGUAGGUG